AACGAACGCUGGCGGCAUGCCUAACACAUGCAAGUCGAACGAGACCUUCGGGUCUAGUGGCGCACGGGUGCGUAACGCGUGGGAACCUGCCCUUAGGUUCGGAAUAACUCCCCGAAAGGGGUGCUAAUACCGGAUAAUGUCCUCGGACCAAAGAUUUAUCGCCUUUGGAUGGGCCCGCGUUGGAUUAGCUAGUUGGUAGGGUAAAAGCCUACCAAGGCGACGAUCCAUAGCUGGUCUGAGAGGAUGAUCAGCCACACUGGGACUGAGACACGGCCCAGACUCCUACGGGAGGCAGCAGUGGGGAAUAUUGGACAAUGGGCGAAAGCCUGAUCCAGCAAUGCCGCGUGAGUGAUGAAGGCCUUAGGGUUGUAAAGCUCUUUUACCCGUGAUGAUAAUGACAGUACCGGGAGAAUAAGCUCCGGCUAACUCCGUG
rnacentral:rRNA from 1 species